GUUUGCGGCAACGGUGGGCGCUGGCGAGCUUUGCAACUGAGGGGCCGAGGGAAAAGUUUCCCCUCAGAUUAUAGGCUCCUAAAAAGCAUUCACCACACUUUGUAUGUUGUGUAUUCUUUAUUCACUAUCCAGACUUGCAGAGAUGAACUGGAGGCAGACCUGCACAGAAUCCUCAGCUUCAUUACCACUUUCAGUCAUCAGCGUUCAGUGGCAAAAACCAGGCCAGUGAUGGCCUGGGAUGCGGGGAUGAUCUUUGUAUCUUCAGUGUCUGACCAAGUCCUAAGGGCACCACAGGGCACCUUCAGCUGCCUUCAAGGCUGUGGUCACCCAUUGUUCUCGUUUGCCUGUCCCACCCGAGGAAAUAUUCCCAUGCUUGGAGAGGACGUCCCCUAACUCUCCGACAGGUUUGAGCCUGUCAGUUACCCUCAACCUGGUCUACCUGUCUGCUGGGAUGGGUUACUGGGACAUGGCUGCUGCACAUGCUACUUUGGAGCCACAGAGCUUCAUUCUAAGAUGACCAGAAUUUCUGUUCUUUAGAAUAGAAACAAUUGGAUUCCCGUAAAGAUUCCUUUAACCCACUUCCAUCUCUCCUCCUUGCUCCAUCCCUUUUCUGACACAAAGUCCAGAUGGCCGGAGACAAAACUAUGAAUUAGACAAAGUUUAUUUUGUCAUAUCACCCUACACAUUACACUUAAGGGUGGGUCCCACUGAUCACCCUCUUCUUUGUAAUCCUGAACUGGAUGGACUCCUGGAUUCCUUCUUGAACUAAAAAUGUGUCUGAAUUCUAACUCUUCUAGCUAUCAGUACCAGAUGCCCCCAUCAAUUAGAGUCUGUUCUCUCCUGACUCUAAGCUAGAUUUGUGCCCUCCUAUUCCAACUUCACAUUAUUCCUGAAAACUUACCCAUUUGCUGAAUGUGAUGGUGCAUGCUUAUAAUCCCAGCUGUGGAGGAUGAGAAAGUCCAGAAGGAAUAUAAUAAGUACAGCAGGGGUCGGAAACUAGACCAGUUUGGAAACAGCAGAUGAAAGUUCCUGUGUGGAUCAUCAGUGGGGCCAUCCAUGAAUGGCUGCACUUACAACCUGGAUAAAAUAAGGAGAAAGAGAGGAAAAAAGAAAGAAUAAAAAGGAAGGAAUGAAGGAGAAUGAAGAAACAAAGAAGAGAAAAAAGGAAGAAAGGAAGAAUGAAGGAAAGGAUAAAGAAGGAAGCCAGACAAGUAGGAAGGAAGGAGAAAGUAAAAGGAAAAAAAGAGAAAAAGAAGGAAAGAAAGAAGAAAGAAAGAAAGAAAGAAAGAAGGAAGGAAGGAAAGGAAAGAAGGAAAGGAAGGAAGGAAGGAAGGAAGGGAUAAUUCUAGAUUAAGAAAGAAAGAGAAAGAAAGAAAGAAGGAAGAAAGGAAGGAAGGAAGGAAGGGAGGGAAGGAGGAAGGAAGGAAGGAAGGAGGGAAGGAAGAAAAGAAGAAAAGAAAGAAAGAAGGAAAGAAACUUAACCAUUUUUAUAUCAUUCCUCCCUGUGCCACAUUCCCUUCUGUUCAUUAUAGGAAGUCAACUAAUCUAAUUCAAGAACACAUGCUCCUAUGCUAAUGGAAACAGGGCUUCCCUAUUCCCACCUUGGUUUUCUAGCCCAGGGGAAUGGUUGGAAGAGUGGAAGUUGGAGUGUCAGACAAAUGAUGGCAUGAUCAUAGGAUCAUACUUAUAGGGACAGAUUGGAUCUCAGAAGCCUUCUUUCUAAUCUAACUUUCUCAUUUUGGAGUUGAAUAAACUAUUGAAGAGGAAGCUUCAAUUAAAAAACCAACUCAAAAGGUCCUCCAUUAUUCAAUAUCUGCUGUCCACAGAUUACUGUAUAAAGUGUUGAGGGAGAAAUAAAGUUUAGAGAGACUCAGCUCUAACCUUGCUUAAGAAACUUCCAGCAUCCUCAAAUCAUUUCAUGUGGAUAGAUUAGAUUGGAAGGUCCUUGAGGGCAGGGAUUGUUUAUUGCUUUACUUUGGUCCACUUAAGUGUUCUGUUUAAAAACAACAGAUUAUUUCUGAAGUAUUUUGUGCUGUUUUCCCCCAAAGAGAGAGGAUUCACUUUGGCUGCCAGUGGUGAACCCCAGCCUCUGGAGCUUCCUGCAAGUGUUCUGCUUUUGGAACUGGAUGCAGAGGCAGUAUAGACAUAUUGGUAAUGGCGAUGUCGGCAGUUUGUGUUGCUGGGAGUGCUAUCAGCAUGGGAUGUCUGUAACUAGCACAUCUUGUACCGUGGGACAGAACUGGCUGUUAGAAGUCUCCAACUUCAGUAAUGAUUUCCUGCUGAGAGAGAGUGACAGGAUUCCCACAGAAAAAUGCAGCCUGCAUUUAGGAUUGGUUGAAUUAUGGGGAUUUUAAGAAAUGACUGAGCCAUGUGCUUUCUGAUCACCCAAUCUGACAUACAGUGAAAGCUGGGAUAUUCAUUCCUCCCACCUCCCUUUCCCAUUUGAGUAACUGGGGAAAAGAAAAUGUAUCUGCCCCAAGGGAUGGAUGUUUUGGUAACUAGGAGAGGCUGAAGAUCUUUUUUUUUUUUUUAAGGAAAAAGGGAUGGAAAACAGAAGAGAAGAGGACUUAGGUUUUUUUUGCUGUCUUUGGUUGGGGAGGGAAUUUUGGGGGGUGGCAAGAGAUAGCCCUAAAAAAUAAAAGGAGUCUGGGGACACUUGUCAGGCUAGUCUUAAAAACAAGUUGGCUUUGCCCUUGAGCUUCUUAGGCUAUUGUAUGGGAAAAUAUUGAUAAACUGUUUUUUAAAAAAAUAAUUGUUUUUUAAAUGCUAUGAAUUUUAAUUUAUGAAUUUGAAAACAUUAGAAAAAGGGGUCUAUAGGUUUCUCUAAAUUACAAAGAGAGUACAUGACACACAAAAAGGGUUAGAGCCAUGGUAGAACCAUGAAAGAGGAAGAAGGAGGGAUGGAGUAAGACAGAGAUAUGGGGAGGAAGAGAGACAAAGGAAAGAGAAAUGAGAAAAGGAGAAAAGGAGAAGAGAGGAGAGGAAAAGAGAAGAGAGGAGAGGAAAGAAGAUGAAAGGAGAAGAGAGGAGAGGAAGGGAUGGGAGAAGAGGAAAGGAGAGGAGAUGAAAGAGAAGAAGAGAAGAAAGGAAAGAAACAAACAGAAGAAGGGAAGGGAAGGAGAGGAAAAGUGGAAAAAAAGAAAAUCAUGGAGGAAAUUCUCUUCUAGGUGUGGAUUGAAUUCCUAGGUCCCUUUCUAGCUUCAAGACUGUGAUAGUUGACUUUUAGGAAGGUAUCUCUGCCAAGAGAACUCUCAUAUUUGAUUCUUUAAAUGAGCCUGGGGAUUGAUACACAUAUUCAAUGCUAAUGGUUGUUCAUUCUAGAAUUUCAGUUUUGUUUGUUCCACUAAAUAAAAUUUGUCCUAUGUAAUACUAUGGUGCUGUAUGCUUGCAAAGAAGGAAUCAACUUCAUUAUACCAGGAUUGUUAUAUAUCUUUCCCCCCAGAUUUCCUUGCAAGGAGGUCUGUGAGUCAAGAGAAUGAGUAAAUCCCUCAAAUUUUGGGCCCUUUCUGCCAGGAGAAAGUCUUUGGCACAAGCCUUAUGCAUGGAAACUCAUUCUCUACUACUAUGUCUACAGAUGACCUUUCUCUCUCUCCAAAAUGUAGGUUCACAAUUCGUGCUUUUUCCCAUACUAAAGCAUUUAUAAAAAUGGGAAAAAUCCCUUGCCAUGAUAGAAUAGUAAUAGAAUAUGAGAAAUGAACUGUUGAUAAUUUAUUUCAGCUGUUAGGUGAGAAUGCACCCCCCAAAAAGCACCAUCACAUCUGGAGGCUUUAUUAAGACAAGCCCCAGAACACACAAUCAGAACAUGAAUCAGAAAUUUAGAGUUGGAAGGACACUAGUUCUAAUUUUACAGAUGAAGAACCUGAGGUCUAGAAUGAUAAGUGACUAUAAUAAGCCCAAGCUAGCUGAGCUGAGAAUGGAACUCUAGUCCAAUACUUUAGUUCCCUAUUUCCUCAAACCCACAAAAAAAACCAAAGGUGUCACCACAGAUGCCAUAGGACUUUGCUUCCUACUCUGGGAUACUACCCUGAUAUUGGGAAAUUCUGUUUCUGAUCUUCCUCCACUAAGUCUACUGACAUUUACCUUUAAUAUCUCCAUGCUAAGAAAGACAAUCUGAUUAAACUAGCCCUUUCCCCAGAGGGGAUGGUGGGGCAGAUAAAUGAAAAAAAGCUAGAAUGAGUGAUUCUAGCUAAACCCAAUUGAAAAACACUAAAUGACCAAAAAAGAACUUUCUCCCAAAUAGCAAUACCUUGGGGCAAAACUCCACCUGGCUCACCUUUCUUAAAACUUUGCUCAUAAUUGUUGUAUGAAAAAGAUUCCUGGGACAUCUUCUCCCUUAAAAUUUUGUCUACUAGCUUUACUCUCCCUUACUCCUUCCCUCUAUUGAAUUUUUUGAGUUUUAAAAGAGAUUUUCCUAUUUUAGAAGAACUGCACAUGUUUAGCCUAUAUUGGAUUGUUUGAAGGGGGUAAGGGGAGAGGGAGGUAGAAAAAUUUGGAACAGAAAGUUUUGCGGGGACGAAUGUUGAAAACUAUCUUUGCAUGUAUUUUGAAAAAUAAAAAGCUAUUAUUAAAAUUGAUUCUCCCUUUCACCUGGGCAAAAGCAUAAAAGGUGAUCCAGUAAGCUAAACAUUAAAUUUUCAUGAGUAGAAAGUACUUACCCUGUAAGCAAACAUAGAAGGUAAGCAUCCCAAGAUGUAGAGUGGUUGAGCAAUCAUUGUAUGCUACUGAUGGUCAAUGAAUAGGAUUCUUAGCCAUUGUUGGGCAACCUUUAGGAAAUACUGGGCAGUUAUUAGGACAUAUAGUAUAAAGAACACACCAUUUCAGGCACUCUUGCUUCUUGGCAAAAUGCCAUGAGUAAUUCUGAGUAAGAUAAAAACUGUUAUAAUAGUUUAAUAUAAUUAGUUUCUCUAUUUUCCAGUCUCUUUCACUUCUAAUUCAUCCACUGAUGAUUCAUGCACUGAUAUUUCUAAAAUAUCCUCCCCUGCUCAAAAAUCUUCUAUGAUUCUCUAUUUCUGCUAUGAUAAACUGAAAAUUCUUCUUCUUAGCAUUUAGAUUUCUUUGGUGCCUGGAUUCUACCUGUUUUCCUCAUCUUAUUUCAUAUCAGUCGUGUCUAUUCUUUUCAUACAUUCUCCUUUCCGGACAAACUGGUCCACUAACGGUUUCUUAUCUCCAUGCUAUCUCCUGCCCAAAGUUCUUUACAUAGAUGGUCCCAUUCAUCAAGAAUAUGCUCACCACGUUUGCUGCAUAGAAUCCUUAUCUUUCUUCAAAGUCCAGCUUAAGAACAACCUCCUACAUGAGACCUUUCUUGAUCUUUGAGUCGGGAAUGCUCUCUCCCUCUUAGAAAUAUUGUGUGUAUUGUUUCUCAACAACAUGGAAGAGAUAAGCAGGGAGGAAAUAAACAUUUAUUCAAUACCUAUAUAUGCCAAGAAUUUAGUAACUUUUGAUCCUCCUCGCACUUAUGUGAGAAUUGGUGCUAUUAUUAUUCCCAUUUUACAGUUGGAGAAACUGAGGCUGACAGGAAUGAAGAGAUUUGCCCAUGAUCCCACAACUAGCAAGUUGAUUUGAAUCCAGGUUUUCUUAACUCCAAGCCCAACAUUCUAUGCGCCAGGCAAGGAGUUUUGCAUUUUCUGUUUUUGUCUCCACAGAACCUAGCACCAAAUCUUGUCCAUUGUAAUAAUUAAUGUUUGUUGAAUUGAAUUGCUGCAAACCAUCUUCCAUUUUCAAGGGAGCUAUUUGUUUUAUUAUGAGAGAAGGUUUUUUUUUAAAAAAAUAACAGUGACCAGUAUUUGGUCUGUCUGAAAUUCCAUAAAAUACGUUCCUGCUAGAAAAUUACCCUCUAAACCCCAAAUUCGCUAGCGUCUGAGGAAACUUGCCCUUCACCUCAAAAUGAUGGAAAAAGGAAAAAUUCUUCCUCCAGAUCACACCCCAGUGUAACUGUGAGCCUGUAAUACUUCCUUGGGAGAAGGUGGAAAUGUGUGGUAUUUGAAACCAAAGGCUCAAGUUGUAAUAUUCCUGGUGUAGGCCCCAGUAUAAACAAAGGAGUUAAGGAAAGAAGAAGAAAAAACACUCAUUGCUCAAUCCCCUUUUUCCAGUGCACUUCAUGUCCAAGUAUAAAUCCAAGAACUUUCCUUUGUUAUUGGCAGAACUCAGUUUUGUCUCCAAUGACUGUUGAGCAAUUCUGGAGUUCAGAUACCCAAUUUUCUAAUAACAAAGGGAUAGAGACUGAACCUGUGAUUUCAUGGGAUUGAGGGAAUUUCCAGACAAGGAAAGUCCCUCUGCUGAUACAGGAUAACACCUUCUCUGUGACUUAAAAUGCUAAGAGAGUUAUAUAGAGCUGAGUGUGAACCCUUCUGUGUAGCUGAAUCAGAGUAAAAGAAAUUGGAAAAUGUUUAACAGAAUAAAUAAAAAUUACAAUACAACUUAAUGCUAAUUUGUGGUUUUCUAAGCCAAUAGGUAGUUGCUUGAAUCUAUUUCUAUUUGAGGUUGACAAUACUAGAGGGAUCUGAGAAUAGAUUGUCUGACAUCACAGAACAGAGUAUAUGUCAGAGACAGGAUUUGAAAUCAGGUCUGGUUUUGAGAGUGAUUUUUAAAAUUUUGAUGGCCACCCAGAAAUAUGGAGACAAAGAUAAAAAUGUGUCCAUUAAAGUCUUAAUUAAAAAUAGAACACUAAAUCUUGACCAGUUUCUUCUAGAGAAAAAUGUCAAUAAUAUGGCAACUUUUACCUUCUUUCCAUGGUUUUCAGAUGAAGAUUAUCAGAAAACAAACAAACUCCAAAGAGUUUGAUUCUUUUUGGAAAAGAGAUCUGGGCAGUAAUGAUAUCACUGAAGUCUGGGGCUUCCCCCAGAGAAGACUUUUCUUAAGGAUGCAGAAGAACUAUUUCAAUGGCAUAAUUCCAGGAAUUAAAAAAUAAUCAUUGAUCAAUCCUAAACAUGAGCUUUGUGUGGUCCAGAAAAAUCACAUCUUGUCAGCCCCAAGUUCCCUAAUAUUCUAAAAGGAUAUAAUAAGAAACAUAUGUAUGCAUUUGCUUUCCUGAUUCAAAAGCAGCUGGACAAUGAGUCUUCCUGAAGAGCAUCUAGGGAGGAGGAAUAGUGUGAGCUCACCCAUGAGUUGAGUCAGAAGAUCUGUGCUGAAUUCUGGUUCUGCUUAUGGAUGUCUGGAUCACAUAAGAGCUUGGCAAUCCCAGAGAAUCCCAGAAUCUCAGAAUUGAAAGGGACUUUGGACUUCCCACCCAUGAAUAUUUUUUUAGAAUCCUUUCUAUAUCAUCCCCAGCAAAUGGUUAUCUAACCUUUGCUCAAAGACCACCAGUGAUGGGGAAGCACUACCUCCCACACACUCUCACCCUAUUUAGGGAUAAUUCUAAUUGUUGGGAAGUUUUUCUUAUGUGGAGCCUUAAUUGACCUCAUAGAGAAUGGCCCAUGAUUGGAGGGCUAGAAGAAAAAAGAAGGAAGGGCAGAUGCUUAUAAUAGUAAGAAAUACAGCAUUCUCUGCCUCUCCCAAGAUGCAAUUUAGCUAAAAAGAGAGACUUUGAAAGAAUAUUUGACCAUAAUAUUUAGAUUAAAGAUGAGAAAAUACUUCCCCCCUCUCCUGACAGCUUUUAUUGUUUGAAUUCUAGAAAUGUCAUACUUACUAUGUGUGACCCUGGGAAAGAUAUUUAACUUUGUUUGCCUCUGUUCCUUCAUCUUUAAAAUGAGCUGGAAAAGGAAAUGGCAAAUUACUCUAGCAUCUUUGCCAAGAAAAUCUUUGAGACAGUAUUCGUGUGCUGUGGUCCACAGGGUCACAAAGAGUCAAACAUGACUGAAUAACAAUAUUGUCUGAAAGUGUCCUUUAUACAAAUUCUUCUGACAGAAUGUAAGCUCCCUGAGAGCAGGGGUUGUUUCAAUUAUAUCUUUGUACCCAUAGUGUCUGGAAACAUUUCAUAAAUGCUCAUAGAUAGAUUAACAUGUUUUAAUUUUUCCUGAUAGAAGAUUUAAAAUUUUAUUAGACUUAGGAUGUAAGGUUCUAGGCGACAUAGAAUUAGUAUGGAGGUUAGACCAAAUCUUCAUUUUCUCUUUUGACCAUUAAGAAGAUGUAAUCUUAAAGUUUUGGCAUCUGCUCUAAGGAUAGUUGGGUGACAAAAAGUCCCCCAUCCCUGCUUCCACACAUGUCUACCAUGCAAUAUUGACCCCAAAUAUCAAACAGUUCCUUGUGAUUUGAGAAUGGCUUUGGACCUGAAAAGGGAGUAGGAGAAUUUUCUUUGAAUUAAGCACUUCCUAAAAGAAUAGCGCUUGACAGGCCAGGAAAAAGUAAGAAUGGGAAAAUAAGGGACUGUUCCCUAUACCAUCCAUUCUGCAUGUUCCCAUUCAUACACAAAUAACAUAAGUUUAUGAACCCCCCCAAAAAUUCCUACUAGGCAAAGUUGGAACUUUGGGUGGAAAAGUAAAUGACACAUAGACAUUCUUGGUUUGUGGGAAAAGGAUUACAGGAAAAGUUCGUAGGAGGUAAUAGGGAAAGAGAAUUAGAGAGACAAAGAGCAUCCUAUCCGGGAGGAUACAAAAAUAGAAACCCAUUUUAGAAUAUCUAAUUAUUACAUAGAUACAGGUGAAAUAAUAAUACUUGCAACCUAAUGCUUUUAAUUAAAAAUACUUUUACAUCUAAUUACUUUAUUUUGUUCUAGGAACAGCCAUAUUGUAAUUCUUUCUAUCUGUCUCUGUCUCUCUGCCCCUCUAUAUAUCUCAUACACAAUUACAAAAUAGGAAACUAUAUAUAUACUACCAUAAAAUAUCAAGUGUACUAUAACUUGGUUAUCUGAUUACACAGGUGUCAAAUUUCCUUCCUUCUUCCAAUUCAAGUAGUCAAUGCAUAUUAUUGGGAGUGUUGUAAGAGAUACCUCUAGUAAAAUACAAUUGCAUUAAGGAGAAAGAAAUUAGAAUAAAUGAUACUAGCUAACAUUCUGCAAUAUCUUUUACAAGUCUUGUAAGGGUAGGUAGUACAUGUAUUAUUUUGUAGAUGAGGAAGUUGAGGCUAAGAUUAAAUGGCACAUGGGAAGAAUUAAAUAUUAAUUUACUAGUGAAAUAAGCAGUUCAGGUCAUUUGGGUAAUGGCUGAAAAGGCUGAGAUAGUUGACUCUAAGGAAGUGUUAAGACAUAGUAGAUAGGAGGUUAGCCUCCAAUUGAAGAAAAAUUGCAUUCAGGUUCUACCUUUGAUACUUUUUUGGCUGAGGGAUCCUAAUUCAUUUAAUCUUUCACUGUGGCUUGCUAAGGCUCUAAACUUUAGAACAGUUGCUAGAAGGAGCUUGCUUACCAAGAGCUCCAUAUAUGGACAAAAAUCAAAGCUCCAGUCUGAAAUAAGAGUGUAAUGGAAUGCUGUAAAAAUAAUGAAUAUGAGAAUUUCAGAGAAACAUGAGAAGACGUGUAUAAAAUGAUUCAGAGUGAAGAAAGCAGAAACCACACUAAAAUAUACACACUAGCUACGAUAAAAAUGGAAGAAAAAGCUGAACUCUGAGUAAUUGAAAAACCAGUAAUGACCCUGAAUGAAACCUAUCUUUUAUCUCUUAGCAAAGCAGCCGUGGACUGCUGAGGAAAAGUGACGUGUUUGUGGUGAGUUAUCAGAUAAAACAUCUUGCUUAACUCUUUUAGAUUCAGUGCUGAGGAGUUUGAAAUUAUUAUUAUAUAGAAAACAAAAAGCAUUACUGAAACAUUUUUAAAAAUAACCAUUUGAAGAUAAUCAAAAAUGGUUAAAUACCAAAGAAGUAAUGAAGAUAAUAAAUUGAGUGAGAAACUGGAGGAUAGUCAAGGAAAGCUUUAUAGAGCAGGUGAAAAUAGAAUGGAGUCUUAAAGGAUGGGUACACUUGAGGUGGACAAGAAGGGCAGAAGUGGUGAAUAAUAAGUACAGCAUCAGUCUGGCCAUGUCCCCAAUGGAAGCUCGGAGGCUCUCUUCCACUCAAUUUAACAAGGACAAUAGAGAGUGUGGGAGGGCUCCUAAUGGUGUUUCCUCUCAGGGAUUCUGUUUUUUUUUUUUUUUUUUCACCUGGCUCCUAUGGAAUAAGUGGAACUUGAGGGUGCUGCUGGAGGCAGUCUGGCAGGGUGGAUAACAAGCAUCCACAGAGCCAGAAGGAUCUGGGGUCACGGUCUGUCUUUGACACACAGCAGCUGUGUAACCUGUAUGACUUAGCCUCUCGGGGCCCUCGGCAAAUCUCUGGGACUAUAAAUUUCAGGGUAAAGCGUCGGUCUGUAUUGAUAAGAGUUUUCUUCUUUGGAGUUUCCCCAUGAAAUCAUACGUCCAGCCUUUCUCACUCCUAGGGUGUCAGACAUAGAGUAAGAGUUCAUUAAAUGAGAUUGACUAAAUGAGAUUAUUCCAGCCAGCAGCCUGGAAGGAUUCCUGGUGUAACCACAAGAGCUAUUUGUUGCCAGGAUGGAGGCAGGGAGUAGAAAGUAUUGAUGGGUCCAUGUUUUAUGAAGGACCUUGGUGAGUCGGAGGAUAGCCAGGGGUGAGCAGCCAGAAUGGCCAAGGGCCUUGAGUUUGUGCUAUAAGAGGAUCACUCAAAGAAGUGGAGAUGUUUCCCCUGCAAAAAGCUGGAAGCAAAUGUGGAAGCCGUCACAAAAAAGCAGAUAUACAUUUUGUGUAAAGAAAGCAUUUGGAAUUAUUGGGAAGAAGUAAACUGGGAAAGAGAGUUUAUAUCCAAGGGUUCUGAUAAAGGCCUCAGCUCUAAAAUAUAUAGAAAAUUGACUCAAAUCUAUAAGAAUACAAGCCAUUUUCCAAGUGAUACAUGCUCAAAGGAUAGGAACAAUUUUCAGAUAAAGAAAUUAAAGCCAUUUCUGGUCAUAUGAAAAAAUGCUCUAAAUCACUGUUGAAAAGAGAAAUGCAAAUUAAGACAACUCUGAGAUACCUCUAGACAUCUCUUAGAUUGGCUAAGAUGACAGGAAAAGACCAGGACAAAUGUUGGAGGGGAUGUGGGAAAACUGGGACACUGAUGCAUUGUUGGGGAAACUGUGAACGGAUCCAAUCAUUCUGGAGAACAAUUUAGAACUAUGGCCAAAGGUCUAUAAAUCUGUGCAUACUCUUUGUGUUUCUACUGGGCUUGUAUGCUAGAGAGAUCUUAAAGGAAGGAAAGGGACCCACAUGUGCAAAAAUGUUUGUGUAGUCCUUUUUGUAGUGGGAAGAAACUGGAAACUGAGUGAGUCCCCAUCAGUUGGAGAAUGGCUGAAUAAAUUAUAGUAUAUGAAUGUUAUGGAAUAUUAUUGUUCUGUAAGAAAUGACCAGCAGGAUGACUUCAUCAUGUUGGAGAGAUCAACAUGAACUGAUGCUAAAUGAAGUGAGCAGAAUCAGGAAAUUGUACAGGGCAACAAGAUUAUACGGUGAUCAAUUCUGAUGGACGUGGCUCUCUUCAACAAUGAGGUGAUUCAGACCAGUUUCAAUUGUUCAAUAAUAAAAAGAGCCAUCUACACCCAGGGAGAGGACUUUGGGGACUGAGUGUGGAUCACAACAUAGCAUUUUCAUUCUUUCUGAUAUUGUUUGCUUUCAUUUUUGUUUUCCUUCUCAGAUUUUUUUCCUUUCUAGAUCCAAUUUUUCUUGUGCAGCAAGAUAACUGUAUGUAUAUGUAUAUGUAUAUUGGAUUUAACAUAUAUUUUAACAUGUAUUGGAAUACCUGCCAUCUAGGGGAGAGGGGAGAGGGAAGGAGGGGCAAAUUUGUUGGAAUAGAAGUUUUUGCAAGGGUCAGUGUUGAGAAAUUACCUAUGCAUAUGUUUUGUAAAUAAAAAGUUAUAAUAAAAAAUAGAUAGAUAGAUAGACAACAGAUUAAAAAACACAACUGAACUUAUCUAGUGAGUGCCCCCUCAUUAGAGGUCUUCAAACAAAGGCUAGAUGGUUGGAUGUCAACUAUGAAGUAUAAUUAGGUCUUAAUUAGUCAAAUAAGAAAUCCCAUGAAGUGGUCAAUUAUUCAGAUUCACACUGCAUAUUUCCAUAGGGCUGGAGCCAGUUAUAGAGCUAGAGAAGGAAAUGACAAACCACUCCAUUAUCUUUGCCAAGAAAAUCCCAAAUAAGGUCACAAAGAGUCAGACAUAACUGGAAAAUGACUAAACAAGAAAAGAACCAGUUAAGAUAUUUUAUAUAAUUAUAAAUUUGAAUAGAAUACAUUUGAAUACAUGAUAAGGAAAUUACAAAUGGUAGAUAAAUAAUGGAUUGGGUUAGAUAGCCUUAGAGAUAACUUCUAACUGAAAUUUUGUCUAAUAGACA
rnacentral:lncRNA from 1 species